GACGAACGCUGGCGGCGUGCCUAACACAUGCAAGUCGAGCGGAGAUGAUGUGAGGAAGUUUUCGGAUGGAAUCACAUUAUUUUAGCGGCGGACGGGUGAGUAACGCGUGAGCGACCAACCUUGCACAGGGGGAUAACGGACCGAAAGGUUCACUAAUACCGCAUGAGACCACGGUGUUGCAUGACACAGGGGUCAAAGGAGCAAUCCGGUGCAAGACGGGCUCGCGUCCGAUUAGGUAGUUGGAGGGGUAACGGCCCACCAAGCCUAUGAUCGGUAGCCGACCUGAGAGGGUGAUCGGCCACAUUGGAACUGAGAUACGGUCCAAACUCCUACGGGAGGCAGCAGUGGGGAAUAUUGGGCAAUGGGGGAAACCCUGACCCAGCAACGCCGCGUGAAGGAAGAAGGUUUUCGGAUUGUAAACUUCUGUCCUUGGUGAAGAGAAGAAGACGGUAGCCAAGGAGGAAGCCCCGGCUAACUACGUGCCAGCAGCCGCGGUAAAGUCUGUAC
rnacentral:rRNA from 1 species